rnacentral:other from 1 species
GCGUCGCUGCGCGGUGCGUUAGAAACACUAUAUCCCCGGGGCCUUACGCAUUCCUAAGGGAGCUGUCCCUGCCUUGGCCCGUGGGCUUGGGCACAACGGCGCCCACCUACUUUGUAGGUUCUCCGGGAUUGCACGCUUUCGACGGCCGACGCGGCACGCG